rnacentral:tRNA from 1 species
GAUUGUUUAGUUUAAUUAAAACGAGUGUUUUGAAAGCACUGAAUAAGAAUCUUUUCUUAACAAUCG